GUUUUAAUAGUUUAAAUCAAAAUAAUGAUUUUGUAAAUCAUAGACAGGAAUCAAUCCUUUAAAACU
rnacentral:tRNA from 1 species